rnacentral:rRNA from 1 species
UACGUAGGUGGCGAGCGUUAUCCGGAAUGAUUGGGCGUAAAGGGUGCGUAGGCGGCCUGCUAAGUCUGGAGUGAAAGGUACCGGCUCAACCGGUACAGGCUCUGGAAACUGGCGGGCUAGAGAGCAGGAGAGGGCGGUGGAACUCCAUGUGUAGCGGUAAAAUGCGUAGAUAUAUGGAAGAACACCAGUGGCGAAGGCAGGUCUCUGGGCCGUUACUGACGCUGAGGCACGAAAGCGUGGGGAGCAAAUAGG